rnacentral:rRNA from 1 species
UCGGUGGUUGAUGGCGGCGGGGAAACGCCCGGUCCCAUUCCGAACCCGGAAGCUAAGCCCGCCCGCGCCGAUGGUACUGC